rnacentral:lncRNA from 10 species
AUCCAGACACAUUAGUCAAGCUGCAGCCAAAGUCGACGUUGAAUUUGAUUAUGAUGGGCCUCUGAUGAAGACGGAAGUCCCAGGGCCUAGAUCUCAGGAGUUAAUGAAACAGCUGAAUAUAAUUCAGAAUGCAGAGGCUGUGCAUUUUUUCUGCAAUUACGAAGAGAGCCGAGGCAAUUACCUGGUUGAUGUGGACGGCAACCGAAUGCUGGAUCUUUAUUCCCAGAUCUCCUCUGUCCCCAUAGGUUACAGCCACCCCGCCCUGCUGAAACUCAUCCAACAGCCUCAAAAUGCGAUACGAAGCUUGGAGUAGAACUGCUGGCCAUGUACAGCUCCUGCAGAUCCUGCCAGACAGUUCUCCAAAUCGAUCGCACCAACUCCACUCCCACAGCCGGGGGAGGGUUCCAGUCUUGCCACAUCCUCGCCAACACGGGGUAUCACUGGAAGAUUUUUCUUUGACUCAGAGAGUAACAUACUUAUCCACACAUGACAAGGAACUUGAUCCCAGAAAGAAAUCUAAGAAAGGCAGAAGGAACAAAGACCCAAUCCUGGUCAGAAAAGGGGUCCCUAGCCCUAAAACGUACUUCACUUUAAAU